rnacentral:rRNA from 1 species
AUUGAACGCUGGCGGCAGGCCUAACACAUGCAAGUCGAGCGAGCGGCGGACGGGUGAGUAAUGUCUGGGAAACUGCCUGUUGGAGGGGGAUAACUACUGGAAACGGUAGCUAAUACCGCAUACCCUCAAAUGUGCCCCGAUGGGAUUAGCUAGUAGGUGGGGUAACGGCUCACCUAGGGGACGAUCCCUAGCUGGUCUGAGAGGAUGACCAGCCACACUGGAACGUAGACACGGUCCAGACUCCUACGGGAGGCAGCAGUGGGGAAUAUUGCACAAUGGGCGCAAGCCUGAUGCAGCCAUGCCGCGUGUGUGAAGAAGGCCUUCGGGUUGUAAAGCACUUUCAGCGGGGAGGCGUUACCCGCAGAAGAAGCACCGGCUAACUCCGUGCCAGCAGCCGCGGUAAUAC